rnacentral:lncRNA from 1 species
UAACUUCAGAACAAACAAGAGAAAGAGAUAUACCCUUUUUUGCACGCCAAGCGUGGUAUUUGGUACAAUCUUUCUUCAUGUGAUUAGUCCCCUUACGGAAAAGCAACCUGAUUCUGUAGUUUCAACCUUAGGUUCCUUAUGUUGCUUCUUCUGGCCUUGCAACCGCAACUUCCUUAUUUUUCCUCUUCUUAUUAUCUUUAGAAGAGGAUGCCAAA